AUAACCACCUAUCCAUUCCAUCUUCUCCUAUUCAGUCCACCCUACCCCCUAAAAAACUCUCUCUCUCUCUCUCUCUCUCUCUCUUAUUUCGCCGUCCCAAAUAUCUCUCCGUUGCAAGAUCUACAGAGAAUAUGAGUUACUACAACCAGCAACAACCACCCGUUGGUGUCCCUCCUCCUCAAGGUUAUCCUCCAGAAGGGUAUCCAAAGGAUGCUUAUCCGCCACCGGGGUACCCUCCACAAGGGUAUCCUCCACAGGGCUACCCUCCGCAAGGCUACCCUCCUCAAUAUGCCCCUCAGUACGCCCCUCCUCCCCCUCAACAACAACAAGGCGUCGGCGGCGCUGGUUGCCUUGAAGGAUGUUUGGCUGCUCUGUGCUGUUGUUGCCUCCUUGAUGCGUGCUUCUAAUGUGUGUAGCCUGUGGUGAGAGGUGCGGUUCAAUUCUAAUGCGUACACUAUAUCUGAGUACUCAAAUUUGUGCAUCACAAUGGUUUCUGCCUUUCUUAUGUUUUUUAUCAAAUAAUUGGAAUGUACCUUUUCUUAUGCUUGUGGAUUUUUACUUUGGAUUAGAAGUAUUUGGUUUUCAUUGCCAUCAUUAGAUAUGUAAAUUGUGAGAGAUUUUCUGAUUUGUCUAUGGAAAAAUACAUUUGACAGCUAUCUAUCUUUAGAAUUUAUGCUUAAUUGUGCUUUGUUAAUUUCCUUGUGGUUAGCUUUUUGUUCAAUAGAAUGCUGGAGAAAGCUUUUGGGUUUUUUGGUCCAACUUGGAGAAAAUGUGGUGUUGUGGUGUGUCCAUUACGGGUCAUGCCCACAAAAGCUCAACAACACGGUCCAAUUUUCUCUUGGCCCUUUUUUUGGUUUUGUUUUUGAAGGUUGGAUGGUGUGGAUGAUUCCCAAUGUUUCCAUUCUUCUCAUGUGCUUACUCUUUGCUUUGGGCAUUGUUACUUUGGUUGUUUUUUAGGAAUUAGAAAGCAUGUAAAAUCAUAUGCAUUUUAGUAUAUUGUGUUUUUUAAGUUGGAUUCCAA